GGUGUGUUGCAUCCAGCUCUGGGUUCUUCAGCACGGAUGGACAGGAACCUGGUGGAACAGGUCCAGAAGAGGCUCACACAAAUGAUCAGAAGAAUGGGACAUCUCUUCUAUGAGGAAACACUGAAAGAACAGUGUUUCCUCAUAGAAGGAUUGUUCAGUCAGGAGAAGUAAAGGCUCUGGGGAGCUCUCACUGUGAGCUUUUAUAUGGGGGACAAAGAAACUCUUGGAUUCCCCGCUUCACCUGAAGAAAGGUCACCUGAAAUUUACUCCAAGUAGCUCAGUGGAACAGACAAGAUCCAUCUACACAUGUGGAUAUGUUUUGAUCAAUUUUCAGCCUACACCAUGUUGGAUGGGAAUGUUGAUUAUCUGGAGAGUAAGAAGGCUCUGCAGAGGGAUCUUCACAGACUGGAUUGAUGGGCUGAGGACAGCAGCAAGAGUUUAAUAAAGCUGAGUACUUGGUCCUGAACUUGGGUUACAAUAAACCCAGGCAUGGGGAA